rnacentral:rRNA from 1 species
UACGUAGGGUGCAGGCGUUAAUCGGAAUUACUGGGCGUAAAGCGUGCGCAGGCGGUUUGCUAAGACAGGUGUGAAAUCCCCGGGCUUAACCUGGGAACUGCGCUUGUUACUGGCAAGCUGGAGUGUGGCAGAGGGGGGUGGAAUUCCACGUGUAGCAGUGAAAUGCGUAGAGAUGUGGAGGAACACCGAUGGCGAAGGCAGCCCCCUGGGCUAACACUGACGCUCAUGCACGAAAGCGUGGGGAGCAAACAGG